rnacentral:tRNA from 1 species
AAGGGUAUAGCUCAGGGGUAGGGCACAUGCCAAGAAAGCACAAGGUCCUGGGUUCAAUCCCCAGUACCUCCA